UGAGAGAGACAGCGGUGCAGAGAUUUACAUGGGUAUAUAUUGGAGACCUGGGUUUGAAAGCUAUCUUCUGGUUAUUUACACGUGAAACAGUUUACACUUCUGUGUAUUGGUAGAUUGUUGCAAGAACCACAAAUCCUUCCCUCUCUUACAUGGUGCCCAGAGGGAAAUCAAGUGGAAGUUUCUAUAUCCCUGGAGAAUGAUGACGUCAUCAUGCAAGAAGUACAUCAUCAGCUUGAUGUGUGAAUCUAUUGUGGUAUAACCAGUGAGGACCCUGGUCACUCAAUACUCAGCGCCCUGGCCUUCUGGGCUAGCCCAGAAUCAUAGAAUUGGCCCCUUCUACCUCCAGCCAGGUGAGUGAUAAUCCAAUUGUAAUCGUUGUGGAAUGGCCUGUGG
rnacentral:lncRNA from 1 species